AUUCCAGCUCCAAUAGCGUAUAUUAAAGUUGUUGCAGUUAAAAAGCUCGUAGUUGGAUUCCUGGUUAGAGCGGCCGGUCUGGUCCGAAUGGGCUAGUACUUUGAGCUGUCUUUGACCUUCCUUUGGGAGAAUCUGUGUUGUUAUUAAUUUAGCAGUGCAGGGGACCCCAAUCGUUUACUGUGAAAAAAUUAGAGUGUUUAAAGCAGGCAUUUGCUGUGAAUACAUUAGCAUGGAAUAAUAAGAUAGGACUUUGGUGCUAUUUUGUUGGUUUGCACACCAAGGUAAUGAUUAACAGGGACAGUUGGGGGUAUUCGUAUUUAAUUGUCAGAGGUGAAAUUCAUGGAUUUAUGAAAGACGAACUACUGCGAAAGCAUUUACCAAGGAUGUUUUCAUCG
rnacentral:rRNA from 1 species